GAUCAAUAAACAAAGGGCAUAUGGGGGAUACCUAGGUAUCAAGAGUCGAAGAAGGGCGUAAAAACCGACGAUAUGCUUCAUGGAGCUGGCAUUAAGCUAUGAUAUGAAGAUUCCCGAAUAGGAUAACCUUUAAAACAUUUUUCUGAAUGCAUAGGAAAAAAUGAGAAAACCAAGUGAACUGAAACAUCUUAGUAGCUUGUGGAAAAGAAAGCAAAAGCGAUUCCCGGAGUAGUGGCGAACGAAAUGGGAACAGCCCAAAAGUCAAUUCUUUAAUUGACUGGUUGAGGGAGUCCAAAAUCUUAAAAUUAUAUUUUUAUGCGAAUUGUUUGAAUGACAAACCAAAGAAAGUGAUAGUCUUGUAGCGUAAAACUUGUAAAAAUAAAGAGUGACAUCCCAAGUAGCAUGGAACAUGUGGAAUUCCGUGUGAAUCUGCGAGAACCACCUCGUAAGGCUAAAUACUCCUUGAUGACCGAUAGUGAACAGUACCGCGAGGGAAUGGUGAAAAGAACCCCCAUAGGGGAGUGAAAAAGAAUAUGAAACCGUAUGCUUACAAGCAGUAGGAGGACGAUUUAACGUUUGACUGCGUGCCUGUUGAAGAAUGAGCCGGCGACUCUUUGCAUGUGGCUUGGUUAAUGAGUUACGCUCAGAAGCCUAAGCGAAAGCGAGUGUGAAUAGCGCGUUUGUCAUAUGUAAAGGACCCGAACCCGGGUGAUCUACCCAUGGGCAGGAUGAAUCUCCAGUAAAAUGGAGUGGAGGUCCGAACUGACUUAUGUUGAAAAAUGAGCGGAUGACCUGUGGGUAGGGGUGAAAUGCCAAUCGAACUCGGAGCUAGCUGGUUCUCCCCGAAAUGCGUUGAGGCGCAGCGGUAGUUUAUGGUCCACAAAGGGGUAAAGCACUGUUUUAAUGCGGGCGGAGAGAUCUGUACCAAAUUAAUGCAAACUCAGAAUACUUUGUGUGAUUUCAAAAUGCCAGUAAGACUGUGGGGGAUAAGCUCCAUUGUCAAGAGGGAAACAGCCCAGACCACCGGCUAAGGCCCCAAAAUAUAUACUAAGUGGUAAAGGAAGUGACAACGCACAGACAAUCAGGAGGUUCGCCUAGAAGCAGCUAUCCUUUAAAGAGUUCGUAACAGAUCACUGAUCAAGCGUAGUUGCACCGAAAAUGAAAGGGACUAAGUAUAUUGCCGAAGCUGUGGGAUCAAUUUUUAAAAUUGAUCGGUAGGGGAGCGUUCUGUUCUUGAUUGAAGCAUGAUCGAAAGGACAUGUGGACAAAACAGAAGUGAGAAUGUCGGCUUGAGUAGCGAAAACAUGGGUGAGAAUCCCAUGCCCUGAGACCCUAAGGUUUCCUCUCGCAAGGCUCGUCCGCGGAGGGUUAGUCAGGAACUAAGGCGAGGCCGAACGGCGUAGUCGAUGACAAUUAGGUUAAUAUUCCUAAACUUUCUAAAAAUUAGUUAUUUGUGACGGCAAUAACAAUUCUAUCAUAGCUGCAUGGUGUUUAUGAUAUCGUUUACAUUGUCCAAGAAAAGCAAAAUAUCAUGUGUUUUUAGAAACCUGUACCAGAAACCGACACAGGUAGGGUGGUUGAGAAGACCAAGGGGCGCGAGUGAACUCUCUCUAAGGAACUCGGCAAAAUGACCCCGUAACUUCGGGAGAAGGGGUGCCUCACCAGCAAUGGGGGGCCACAGUAACAAGACCCAAGCAACUGUUUAUCAAAAACACAGGUCUCCGCAAAGUCGUAAGACAACGUAUGGGGGCUGACGCCUGCCCAGUGCCGGAAGGUUAAUUGCGGUGGUUAGUGAAGAACGAAGCCAUCAAUUGAAGCCCCGGUGAACGGCGGCCGUAACUAUAACGGUCCUAAGGUAGCGAAAUUCCUUGUCGGGUAAGUUCCGACCCGCACGAAAGGCGUAAUGAUUUGGGUACUGUCUCGGAGAGAGGCUCGGCGAAAUAGAAUUGUCUGUGAAGAUGCGGACUACCCCCACCAGGACAGAAAGACCCUAUGAAGCUUUACUGUAGCUUGAAAUUGUUGCCGAGUAUAUCGUGUGCAGCUUAGGUGGGAGGCGUUGAUUAUGUAUUUCCGGAUACAUUGGAGCCAUUAGUGAGAUACCACUCUCGAUAUACUCAGCAUCUCAUCAUAUACUUUUAGCAAGUUAUGAGACAGUUUUAGGUGGGCAGUUUGACUGGGGCGGUCGCCUCCUAAAAGGUAACGGAGGCGUACAAAGGUAUCCUCAGGCUGUUUAGAAAUCAGCUGUGGCGUGCAAAGGCAUAAGGAUGCUUGACUGCAAGACCUACAAGUCGAGCAGGGACGAAAGUCGGUCUUAGUGAUCCGACGGUUCCGUGUGGAAGGGCCGUCGCUCAACGGAUAAAAGUUACUCUAGGGAUAACAGGCUGAUCUCCCCCAAGAGUUCACAUCGACGGGGAGGUUUGGCACCUCGAUGUCGGCUCAUCGCAACCUGGGGCGGAAGUACGUCCCAAGGGUUGGGCUGUUCGCCCAUGAAAGCGGUACGCGAGCUGGGUUCAGAACGUCGUGAGACAGUUCGGUCCAUAUCCGGUGGAGGCGUUAGAAUAUUGAGAGGAUUCUUCCUUAGUACGAGAGGACCGGGAAGGACACACAACCGGUAUACCAGUUAUUGUUGCCAACGGUAAACGCUGGGUAGCUUUGUGUGGAGUGGAUAACUGCUGAAAGCAUCUAAGUAGGAAGCCCACCUCAAGAUGAGUAUUCUCUAAGGUCACAGUAAGAACAACUGUUAGAUAGGUAUUAGGUGUAAGUGCAGUAAUGUAUUCAGCCGAGAUAUACUAAUAGACCGUAUGAAUUGAU
rnacentral:rRNA from 1 species